CACCCGCUAUCGCAAAGGCUUUUUCUUUGCGCACGCUAGGCCUAGGGGAGGAGGGACCAAGCAGUCUCCUUGGGUCAGAUUUGCGCCGCCGCGGGAGGAGCAACGGCCUCGUCCCGCUCCGCCGCGAGCUGGAGGCGGAGGAUGGGGGUGGAGGUGACGACCCGAGGCGGGGCCCCGAGGAGAAGACGCAGGGCUCGGGACUGGUCACGGUAUGUCCGGUGAGUUGGUUUUGCUCCAGUCUAAAGAGUUAAAGGUGAGCCUUUAGGCUUGGCACCAGUAGAGGCAGCGGCGGCGGACGGCGGACGGCGGCGGUAGCGGUACCGAAGGCGAGAUGCCCGGGAAGUGGUGGCGGAGGGGGCGAGAGAGGUGGUGAGGUUAGGGGAAAGGUGGAGGCGGAGUGGAGUGCUGGAGGCGCUCGAGGAGGCGUAGGUUGCGUAGGAGCCACUGGGGCGUCGUUGGUGGGUCGGGUGCGUUUGCGUUGUUGCGGGUGCUCGGCGGCGGUGGCGUCUGGACGUGGCUGAAGAGGUGGCGCGCCGGCCGGAGUGGUGGCGGCUCCGGUGGAGGGACGAGCCGGCGUAGGGAUUGUGGGUGGCAGACCUUGUGGAAGAGGUUCUUGAAGCACCGGACGCGGAGGGCCGCCCGCUCUAGUCCUUUCGAGAGCCCAGGCUGGGGCUGCCUGAGGAGAGGUACCUCGGCCCGCUCGGCAGGGCGGAACAGCUCGAGGAUCUGCUCGAGGCGACGGCCCGCGGGUAGUUCCUGGUCCAGGAGAGAGUGCCGCACGAGUCGCGGCGUUAGCGGCGCUCCGCCGCCCAUCUCGAGGACGUGCUCGCGCCCGACUCGGCCGCACUGCGCGACUCCCACUAGAGGCAACUCGGAGCCCGUUAAAAUAUAUCGGACCUGCUACACCUCUCCUUCCACCUCAAGAACCACCCGUCCUACCCCAAACUCUAACCAACCGACCACCUCAUGGGUCUCAAGAACCCCUAUUUAGAGCUGUCCAGCUAGUAGGGUGCCGUGUUACAUCACCUCAUAAACCGCAGCCACCCACCCGAACCCCUGGGGUAACUCUACUUCGUAAUACACUCUAAGUCGGCGGAGUUCAAGAUGUUAGACAAGCACUUCGGUAUGGGCCUCACGCUCUCCUAAAAGCCCCCGGAUCAGUCCCUCUUUUUCCUACUCCACUCCGCCGUCGUAGGCCACCCCAACACCUUCGACAAAUUUGGCCGCUUCAUACUCUAGUGACUCCUCUUACACUUCCUGUACUUCAACCAACAACUUAGUGAAGUAAUCGAGACAAGUCUUGUGGUUGACGAUGGCUAAAACUUAACCCGACGAGUACUAAGACCCCUAUAAACACCACCAUUGUUACACCAAGCAUAACACUUUCGCAUACAAACUUAACGUCACGUAAGACGGUCGUUUUACAGUAGACACGACUAGUUUGUACCUUGGCUAACCUUAGACGUUCUAUUCAUUUAGCUCGGGAUCCGAGGAUCGAAUUCCAACUCCAGUUAAUAUUACUGGGGUAGUACUAUACCACUAGUCUCGACCAGAGUAGUCCUUCGUUUGUUCUAUUAACAAACUACUUUAGACCGUUGAAUACCUUCCGAGUAGAGUUCAAUGGUUGUUUAUCCAUUGUCUCCGUCAGUAAGAAAGAUAUAAAACUCAUUAGUUACUAGUAGUCCCUUUUUUUAUGAGCUAUCCAACGGUUUUACUAAUAAUUACAACCUUCUGAACACUUGAACACACCAGAAGAACCUAUUUCCAAUAACACUAUGUUUAAUCUAUCCGCCGAUUAAAAAGUGGACUUCAAAAGCGUUUUAGUUUGACUUACUUAUUCGUCUACUGUAUUACACACAACAAAACGAACCUUAAACACAUGCUUCUACCGUCUACUAUCGUUUUUCACUACCUAGACCUUCUUCUUUUGUCGUCGCUCCGAUUAUGUGUCAAAAUUAUAACAGUAAUCUUCACUCCCUUUUUUAGUGUCCAUGAGUCCAUCAUACUAAAACAACGACCAAGAACGUAAUAGACAAAUCGUGUCUCCUACAUCCUAAACAUUUUACCAGUACGAAGGAUUGAACAUAGACACUGUGAGAGAGGUGGAUUAGACGAUAUCUAGGAUUGAGAAAGAGAUAAUCUAAUAAAUAAAGUAUCCUUUACGGUUCGACUAACAACGGUAAGGGGCAUCUAUAUUUAUCUCCUCUAUACUGAGAACCAAUAAAACUUAGCGUUUUCGACUGGAGACCAAGAUAGACAGCAUCACGAGUAACAGGCGUUACGUGUUAUAGUUAUUAUCACAUGAGUAAAUUAUGAAAAAAACAGGCACCUUUAAAAGUCAAAACGCAAAUCUUCAACUAGAAAAACACUAGAUACUGUAUUUCAUAUAAUAAAUAAAUCAAAACAUAAAGACCAAUAAUGUAACCGUUACAGGACAACAUACUUCUGAGACCAAACCCAUGUCAAAAUGGGAAGCUUCUUAUAAUCGAACGACUUUCGAAUAACAACUUGGGUAACCGUGUAACUUUCUACAGGAAUGAAGUGUAAGUUCCUUUCUAUCAAACAACUACGCAACGACGAAAUUCCUUUGUGAUCCCCCUAAGCUUGAAGACUAACCACUCGAUGUGUUGUACGGUAGCACCAGUUAAAAAGUGGUAUUUACAAAACAAGACACUAUUCGACGAUAUUUUCGCUUUAUUAAGUAAUAGAAGCAUUCAGUAGUAUCGUAAAUCUCUCAUCAGUAUAGACGCGAAGACGUCUUCAUUUCCACCUCCCUACUCCUUCGAAAGACAUGACAAAUAUCGGUACCACUAAAAACGUAAUACGACAAAAUACGCACAUAGUUCAUGCCUUAGACAGGCUACAUUUCAAGAGUUC
rnacentral:rRNA from 1 species